rnacentral:rRNA from 1 species
UGACCGCUGGCGGCGUGCCUACUACAUGCAAGUCGAGCGACCGGACGCGAAGCUUGCUUCUCUGAUGUUAGCGGCGGACGGGUGAGUAACACGUGGAUAACCUACCUAUAAGACUGGGAUAACUUCGGGAAACCGGAGCUAAUACCGGAUAAUAUUUUGAACCGCAUGGUUCCAAAGUGAAAGACGGUCUUGCUGUCACUUAUAGAUGGAUCCGCGCUGCAUUAGCUAGUUGGUAAGGUAACGGCCUACCAAGGCAACGAUGCAUAGCCGACCUGAGAGGGUGAUCGGCCACACUGGAACUGAGACACGGUCCAGACUCCUACGGGAGGCAGCAGUAGGGAAUCUUCCGCAAUGGGCGAAAGCCUGACGGAGCAACGCCGCGUGAGUGAUGAAGGUCUUCGGAUCGUAAAACUCUGUUAUUAGGGAAGAACAUAUGUGUAAGUAACUGUGCACAUCUUGACGGUACCUAAUCAGAAAGCCACGGCUAACUACGUG